CCUACGGGUGGCAGCAGUGAGGAAUAUUGGUCAAUGGGCGCGAGCCUGAACCAGCCAAGUAGCGUGAAGGAUGACUGCCCUACGGGUUGUAAACUUCUUUUAUAAAGGAAUAAAGUGAGGCACGUGUGCCUUUUUGUAUGUACUUUAUGAAUAAGGAUCGGCUAACUCCGUGCCAGCAGCCGCGGUAAUACGGAGGAUCCGAGCGUUAUCCGGAUUUAUUGGGUUUAAAGGGAGCGUAGAUGGGUUGUUAAGUCAGUUGUGAAAGUUUGCGGCUCAACCGUAAAAUUGCAAUUGAUACUGGCAGUCUUGAGUACAGUUGAGGUAGGCGGAAAUCGUGGGGUAGCGGUGAAAUGCAUAGAUAACACGAAGAACUCCGAGUGCGAAGGCAGCGUACUAAACUGCCACUGACAUUGAUGCUCGAAAGUGUGGGUAUCAAACAGGAUUAGAAACCCCCGGUAGUC
rnacentral:rRNA from 1 species